rnacentral:sRNA from 1 species
AGCAGCCGCGGUAAUUCCAGCUCCAAUAGCGUAUAUUAAAGUUGCUGCAGUUAAAAAGCUCGUAGUUGAAUUUCGGGACUAAUAUGUCGGUCGUGCCUCGGUACGUACUGGUUUAUUGGUUUCUCCUUUCUGAAGAACCAUGAUGUCAUUUAUUUGGUGUCGUGGGGAAUCAGGACUGUUACUUUGAAAAAUUAGAGUGUUUAAAGCAGGCUCACGCUUGAAUACAUUAGCAUGGAAUAAUGAAAUAGGACGUUUGAUUCUAUUUUGUUGGUUUCUAGGAUCGACGUAAUGAUUAAUAGGGAUAGUUGGGGGCAUUAGUAUUCAAUUGUCAGAGGUGAAAUUCUUGGAUUUAUUGAAGACUAACUACUGCGAAAGCAUUUGCCAAGGAUGUUUUCAUUAAUCAAGAACGAAAGUUAGGGGAUCGAAGACGAUCAGAUACCGUCGUAGUCUUAACCAUAAACUAUGCCGACUAGGGAUCGGAUGAUGUUAAUUUUUUAAUGACUCAUUCGGCGCCUUAAC